UAAUCUGGUGAACUUUGAGAAGCUGCACAUGAUCGCUGAUACGGUCCGACUCAUUCGCCACUGCCAGACGGAUCAGACAGGGAACGAGCUUUCUCCGUGUGACAGUCCUGAGGUGCUCUCCAGCAUCCAUUACCUUCACAUCAUCGACAAUCAGCAGACGCUGUUCGAGCUCUCGCACAGACUGGAGCCCCGAGUCUGAGACACAGAGACACAGAGACACAGAGAAAGAGCGCCGCCUGCUGGACAGAUUCAGACUAAAUCAGUGACUCUCUCAGAGCCUGGACACCACCAGAAAACACUUGUUUCUUAAUGUAAAAAAUUACUGGUGGUUGAUGAAAGCUUUUUCCUGUCCGGGGGAAAAGUGUGAACUUUUUCAGCAUUGUUUUGUUGAAAUGCAGUUGUCAAUGUUUAUUUAACUUCUACCAGCAACUCUGGACCAUAUUUAUAUUUGAAUUUAAUACUGCAGAUUGUUAGGGCUGGGCGAUAUGAUCAUAAAAUAAUAUAUACAAAAAUUAUAUUUAAAAUUUAAAAUAUAUAUAUAUUAAAUUUUAUUAUGUAAUUUUUCAGCCUUUUGAACAUGUUUAGUGUAUAUUGAUAUUUAUAUAUUUGGAUUUAAAGGCUGAUUUAUUUUACUCAAUUUCAACCAGUUUGAUUAAAAAUGUAUAAUGCAAAUUGAAAAUACAGUAAAAAUCAUUUGAACACAAGAACUGAUAUAUAUAAAAAACAUAAACAGCUAUAUUAACACACAAAAAAUAAUUGAAUCAUUUGAAUUGAUUCAUAGAACUGAUUCAUGAAAUCGAAUCAGACUUGCUUCUUUUUUAGGUCUGAAGUUCAAAUCAGAAACUUGAUGGCUAAAUAAUAGAAUCACACUGUUGUAUCAGUUUAUAAAUAUUAUGAUAUUUUGUAAACACAAAAACAAAUAUAACACGCGAAUGAAUCAUUGAAUCAUUUGAAACGAUUCAUUGAAACCGAUGGUUUGAACAACCAAAGUUCAAAUCAGAAACAUAGUGGCCAAAAUAAAAUCAUCACAACAUUGCUUCAGUCUUUAAAUAUAUACAAUAUUUUGUAAGCACAAGAGCAAAUAUAAAACACAAACAAAUCUCUGAAUCAUCUGAAUCGAUUCAUCGAUAGUUUGAAAUGAUUAAUGAAAAUUAAUCAAAAUUAAUUGCGUUUUACUACUAAUACAAUUAUUUGGCAGAAACUUAAUUGCCAAAUAAUAUAAUCACAUAGUUGUUUCAGUUUAUAUAUAUUAUGUUAUUUUGUAAACACAAAAACAAAUAGGCCUAUAACACGAAAAUGAAUCAUUGAAUCAUUUGAAUCGAUUCAUUGAAACCGAUGGUUUGAACAACCAAAGUUCAAAUCAGAAACAUAAUGACCAAAAUAAAAUAAUCACAACAUUGCUUUAGUCUUUAAAUAUACAUUAUUCUGUAAACACAUGAAACAAAUAUAACUUACUCAAACAAAUCACUGAAUCGAUUCAUCGAUAUAGACAGUUUGAAAUGAUUCAUGGAAAUGAAUCAAACUCAAUUGUGUUUUACUACUAAUGAAAUUCAAAUCACAAACUUAAUGGCCAAAUAAAAGUUAUCUUGGCUUCAGUUUACUAUAUUUUAUAAACACAAGAGCAAAUGUAACAUGCACAUGAAUCACUGAAUCAUUUGAAUCGAUUAAUUGAACUUAUUUAUGGAAAUGAAUCAAACUUACUUGCUUUUUACCGCAACUGAAGUUGAAAUCAGAAACUUAAAGGUGAAAUAACAUCACAGUGUUGCUUCAUUUUAUAAAUGUAUGAUAUUUUCUAAACAGAGUAUAUAUAUCGCCCGGCCCUACUUUAUAAACUGAGAGUGAAGGAACAAACACACGGUGUCAAAGGUCGCGAUGAUGAUGUCAUAUAGA